CCAAUCAGCGCGUGUGAUGAAUGGAGGAGUACCUAUUUUAUUUGGUCGAAAGUGAGUGUUGGCCAGUGAGCAUCUCUGAGUUGGCUGUGUUGUUGGCAGUAUGGUAAGACGUGUUCAACAGUUUCUGCGGCAUGUUCACAGUGACAGAUUGGAGAGGGGACAAGUUUAAUCUUGGAAAGGUGCAGGCGGAAAUAAAGAAGAGGUGGAAAAGAAUCAUGUUACAGCGAGAAGGGGCUUCUCCUCAUGGACAGUCCACCCAUUCGUUUUUUAACGUCAGCUUGCAUCAUAACCACGACAUCACACAGCAACGAUCCCACCAUGCACUGGUGGUUGUAAACAAUGUUUGCAAAAUUCGGUAUACCAUUGUGUGGGCAACUGGCUCCGUGCUUAUAAAACGUUAGAAUCUAGACUCGAUGUCUAAUGAUGUCACACGCUGCCUAAUAGUCUGAUAUGAGACUGCUUUCACACCCCGGCAACGAUAUACAUAUUAUAUGCGUAUGACGUCAUUGGAUAUUAGAGUUUAGACUUUUAAACGCACGGUUCUUGGAUAGAUUCUCAAUUUGGUAUCAUCUCAGCCAAUCACACAAUUCUAAGCAGAGUAUGCGUGAACUUUCACUCGUGUUACUGUUAGGGCGUUUGACGUUGAAAAACGUCUAUCUUGAAAUAAUAUAUCAUUUUACAUUGCCUUACCAGUGUGCAAAGCUCAGCUGAAACGUUUGGAUGGUCUUCAACAGUUUUUGUUUUGGGGGUUUUCCAACGACGACACGCUAAAACCCAACAUAUCGGCAACAUUACUGGUAUUGAGACAUAGCAGGUGCGUGUGCAGGGAAUUAUGCAGGAGACGAGACUGUGGCCCAGUCCGAGUGUUCUGCCAUUCGAGAGCUAGACGGACAUUUGUACGGUUAUGAUUGCUCUGCCUGUUCAGCGGCUUUCAAUAAUGUUCCGGUUAAAUACGUGGGUGCUGACCCUGACCCUAACCCUAACCCUGAGUUACUUCCUGUAGUGUGUGUAUUAGUGGUUACUAUGAAAAUUAUGUGUAAUCGUCGGAUUUGAAAAUAAUCAUUGUAAUGGUAUUUAGCGUCAAAUUUAGAAUUGUUGUUGUAUUAGAGCGGGAAUCUUUAUCUACCGUGUGGUAGUCCGCCAUUCCGUAUUUUAUUUAUAAUCUCGGACGGCAGAGAGCGAUAAUAACCGUACAAAUGUCCGUUUAGCUGUCGAACGGCAGAGUACUCGAGCUAGACUAUGGUGAGCAUAGUUUUUAGGGGGUUCGACCUCCAACACCCCCACUUACACACAUGCCUGUAUAGAAUAGAUCGUUCAGUCUAGGCUUUAGUAAGGUACAAUGGUACAAUGUAAAUGUAAUAUGCAAAUAAAUGUUUCUACUAACGGUGUUCUUAUGAAAAUGUACCUCGAUUUGAGCAACGGAAUUCCAGGAAAAACUAUGUUAUUCUUGUGACGAAAAUAGCCAUGCAGACCAAAAUUUCCAAAGAGAAGAUCG